rnacentral:rRNA from 1 species
AGAGUUUGAUCAUGGCUCAGGGCGAACGUUAGCGGGGGGCUUAACACAUGCAAGUCGAACGAGAAAGCUCCCCUUCCGGGGGGUGAGUAAAGUGGCGCACGGGUGAGUAACACGUGGGUAACCAACCCACCGGCGGGGGACAACAGCUCGAAAGGGCUGCUAAUACCCCCAUACGUCGACGAGGUCCUCGGACCAUGUCGGGAAAGGAUGCCCUCUUCUUGAAAGCUAUCCCCGGAGGACGGGCCCGCGCCCCAUCAGCCUUGAUGGUGAGGUAAUGGCUCACCAUGGCUUAGACGGGUAGCUGGUCUGAGAGGAUGAUCACCCACACUGGGACUGAGACAGGGCCCAGACUCUGCGGGAGGCACCAGUGGGGAAUAUUGGACAAUGGGCGAAAGCCUGAUCCACCCACGCCGCGUGUGUGAUGAAGGCCCUCGGGUCGUAAAGCACUGUGGAGAGGGACGAACAAGUACGGGGAACAAUACCCCUGUGCCCUGACGGUACCUCUUUAGCAAGCACCGGCUAACUCCGUGCCAGCAGCCGCGGUAAUACGGAGGGUGCAAACGUUGCUCGGAAUCAUUGGGCGUAAAGCGCGUGUAGGCGGCUCGUUAAGUCGAUUGUGAAAGCCCUGGGCUCAACCCAGGAAGUGCGGUCGAUACUGGCGAGCUAGAGUACGGGAGAGGGUGGCGGAAUUCCCGGUGUAGAGGUGAAAUUCGUAGAUAUCGGGAGGAACACCAGUGGCGAAGGCGGCCACCUGGACCGAUACUGACGCUGAGACGCGAAAGCGUGGGUAGCAAACAGGAUUAGAUACCCUGGUAGUCCACGCCGUAAACGAUGAGUGCUUGGUGUCGCGGGUAUUGACCCCUGCGGUGCCGUAGUUAACGCGUUAAGCACUCCGCCUGGGGAGUACGGCCGCAAGGCU